CAAUCGCCACGGUAAUACAGAGGGUGCGAGCGUUAAUCGGAUUUACUGGGCGUAAAGCGUGCGUAGGCGGCUUUUUAAGUCGGAUGUGAAAUCCCUGAGCUUAACUUAGGAAUUGCAUUCGAUACUGGUUAGCUAGAGUGUGGGAGAGGAUGGUAGAAUUCCAGGUGUAGCGGUGAAAUGCGUAGAGAUCUGGAGGAAUACCGAUGGCGAAGGCAGCCAUCUGGCCUAACACUGACGCUGAGGUACGAAAGCAUGGGGAGCAAACAGGAUUAGAUACCCCGGUAGUCCCUGUCUCUUAUAC
rnacentral:rRNA from 1 species